GACGAACGCUGGCGGCGUGCCUAAUACAUGCAAGUUGAGCGCUGAAGGUUGGUACUUGUACCAACUGGAUGAGCAGCGAACGGGUGAGUAACGCGUGGGUAAUCUGCCUUUGAGCGUGGGACAACAUUUGGAAACGAAUGCUAAUACCGCAUAAAAACUUUAAACACAAGUUUUAAGUUUGAAAGAUGCAAUUGCAUCACUCAAAGAUGAUCUCGCGUUGUAUUAGCUAGUUUGUGAGGUAAAGGCCCACCAAGGCGAAGAUACAUAAGCGACCUGAGAGGGUGGUCGGCCACAAUGGGACUGGGACACGGCCCAAGAUCCUACGGGAGGCAGGAGUAGGGAAUCUUCGGGAAUGGGGGGAAGUCUGGCCGGACAACGCCGGGUGGGUGAAGAAGGUUUUCGGAUCGUAAAACUCUGUUGGUAGGGGAGAACGUUAGUGGGAGUGAAAAGCUCAUGAAGUGACGGUAACUACCCAGAAAGGGACGGCUAACUACGUG
rnacentral:rRNA from 1 species